UUAUCUUUCCUAGAACUGAGGUCUGUGUGAAGGAGAAAAGUUUGAAAUUCACUAACACCUGUGGAAAAUCUCAGCUGCCCUCUAACACAGCAUCACCACGUAUUUCCGCUCAAUCCAAUUUAACACUAAUUGACCUGCCUGCUGGUGCCAGGUUUAUAAAAAAAGGAGAGUCGGGAUGGUCAAAAUGGAUGAGAAGUCUCUGUGCCAAGGACCUGAGCGGGGAAUGAAAUGGCAACAUAUGAGAAAAGAAUGUCAGAUUUUACUGAUGGACUUGGCCUCUCCAUUCAGUCAUCCAUAUUCAAUCAAAGCAGACAAGGAGCCCCCCACCCACCCCCGUCUGAGCCACUCUACCAGAUCAAACAACUAAAAGGAUGGUUUGUCAAAUCAUUUUGGAGGCUGGAAGAAAGGAACAAACCAGUGAAAGCAUUGCCUGAUUUUGCCCGAAACUGAACAUGGACAAGAGUCCGGGCACGGAAGCAAGCACAGGUGUAGGCAUGGCCACCAACAGACUUAUCUCCCCAGAUAAAUCCUGGGAAGAGCUACACUGACAGGGAGCAAGUUUUCUGUGGGCAUUCAGUCCACCCUAAUGUCUUUUGGGCUCUUCUUAGCAAAAGAAGUAAUUUCUCUACUGUGCAUAAUAAAGAUGUAAGAAAGUCUGGUCUCACAAGCACCAAAAAUUCCAUCUCCAGGGCACAGGAGCCUUUCUAACAGAGAGAAGCUGAAUUCCGCACAGAAUCUAUUAUUCCGUGACAGGUGGUAGAAACAGAAAAAAGACAGGCUAGACUUUAGCUUCAGGGCAUGAAGGGAAGACGUCCCAGUUCUGCUAUUAGGAGGUAAAAGGAGGCUGCUCAAUCCGGCUAGCUAGUUGCACACCCCCCCCCCAAAAGGGGGAGGGGGGGAGCUUUCACUUGAAGGAGUUCAUGUUUUCCUAAGCCUUUGCUUUCUGCAAGGACCUCACGCGGAGAGAGAGAGAGCACUAGGAAGUAUAUUAACCCCAAGCUGACACUGUAGAGUCGGUGUAUGUCAGUCCCAGCCAUAUCCAAUCUGUUAAAACGACUCAAAAAUAACCCCGCUUGGCAAAGAUCAAGAAAACGAGGGAAAGACCGUGCUACACCAGGCAUCUACUGGCACUAACUUCUACCUCCGACCAUCGCCCUCCCGCUGCAAACUGCUUCUGGCGACCCCGAAUACCGAAUUUGAAAGAGGCCUGGAAGAAACGUGAACCGCCGGCCACCAGCGCGCGCCCCAUCACAGGCCGCUCCCCAGACGUCCCAGCCCCGCCGUCCUCACCAGCACCCAGCACACGCCCUCCGCCCGCCGGGCCCGGCCGCAGACCUGGCCCGCCCUUCUCUGUUCUCCGGCGCGGAGUCUGCAUCCUCCCGGCCCCGCGCCCGCCCGAUCGGCGUGCGCUCCGGGCUUCGGGCCCCCGAGGCCAUCGCCGCCGCCGCCCGCUCCUCCGCCGCCGCCGCCCGGACGCGCGAGCAGACCGGACUGGGGCGGGGUAGGGGGGGGGGGGCGGACGAGGGGCGCGGGGGCGCGGUCCGGACUCACGCGGGAUGUGGGCCCAGGCUGGGGGCGCCGCCGCCGGGGUCCCGGGGACGCCCUGUCACGCCCCCCAGACCUCCUCCCCGCGGGACUGCAGCCAAGCUCACCUCUCCCACGGGCACCCCCUCCUCGCUGGAGAGACACCGGGCCACCUGGCACUGCCUCCACCUCCAAGCCACCCAGGCAGUGCUCCGCGCCUGGCUCCCCCAGGGCCACCGCGCUCCCAGAUGUCCCACCCGGGCCGCCCCCGGAGACAAUGGCUCACCCGCCUCCCGGCCCGCCGCGCUUCAGCUCGGCCACCUCCCCCCUCCCUGGGCAGCGGGUGCCAUGGCUUCCCCGUUUCACAGAAGCCUAGGCAGCGGCCAGGGAGGUGACAGGCUGGAGGACCGAGCAAAGAAACCGGGCUGCUAAUGGGGUCGAGGAGGGGCCAGGUACAAAUCGGCCACAGAGACCGGCCCAGAUGAGAGCCGCUCUCCCGGGUCCGGCCCCGCCACCCCCGUC